rnacentral:misc_RNA from 1 species
AAAGAUCGCAGCCUGCGGCAGCUCCUACAGGGGAGAAGCAUUCCACAUGUAGGAGCUGCCGCAGGCUGCGAUCUUU